rnacentral:lncRNA from 1 species
UUUAAUCGGUAGUAAGAAGAAACCUAAAAAGAAAAUACAUUGUGCUUAUAGUAACAUCUUUUUUUGAAAAUACCGAACAUCUCAACUCUUUCAUGUCGGUUGGUUCACAUGAUGGUAUAGUUAUUAAGAAUUCCCACAAUUCUACCUCUGGAUAAUCAGUCCAAUUCGAAUAAGUAGAAGCAACUUCUCCUUCGAAUCACACUUGUAGUUGAUAACAUAAUCAAUAGGCCGCCUUGCAGUUAACAUUCGUAGAGCCUCCUCUAUAGUUGUCUUGAGCAGUAACCACCAAAUGAAGCAUAUCAUGAAGCUUCAUAGAGCGUGGAUGUGAUCGACAAAAUGUUGUGAUUGGAGAGGGGCAUAUGAUGCAAAACCUGAAGUAGAGGAUAUUCAUGUCAAAAGGAUCCUAGCCUUUUGUCCUAAGGUUAGUUGCUACUGACUCAUAAUCGUUUUUUAAUUCUUCAACCCACAUAAAUGAGAACAACAUUUUUCCUCGGUCAGAUGCAUAAACAAAUACAAAGAGGCAAGAAAUAAAAAAAAAUGCAUACCACAUUAUCUUUUAUCAUCCUAUCUUUAAGUGGUUUGAGUGCCAGUUGCAGAUCAGCCUUAUGAUACUAUUGUUACCUGCAAUGUUGAGAACUUGAAAAACAAAAAAUAUUGCAAUUAAGUAGACACUAAAUUAGCGCGAGGUUUAGUUUCCCUUUGAAGAUAUCACAUUUGAGUAUUGGCGACCACCAGAACGCGGGC